GUUCUCCGUAGGGUAACCUGCGGAGGGAUCAUUACACAAAUAUGAAGGCGGGCUGGAACCUCUCGGGGUUACAGCCUUGCUGAAUUAUUCACCCUUGUCUUUUGCGUACUUCUUGUUUCCUUGGUGGGUUCGCCCACCACUAGGACAAACAUAAACCUUUUGUAAUUGCAAUCAGCGUCAGUAACAAAUUAAUAAUUACAACUUUCAACAACGGAUCUCUUGGUUCUGGCAUCGAUGAAGAACGCAGCGAAAUGCGAUAAGUAGUGUGAAUUGCAGAAUUCAGUGAAUCAUCGAAUCUUUGAACGCACAUUGCGCCCUUUGGUAUUCCAAAGGGCAUGCCUGUUCGAGCGUCAUUUGUACCCUCAAGCUUUGCUUGGUGUUGGGCGUCUUGUCUCUAGCUUUGCUGGAGACUCGCCUUAAAGUAAUUGGCAGCCGGCCUACUGGUUUCGGAGCGCAGCACAAGUCGCACUCUCUAUCAGCAAAGGUCUAGCAUCCAUUAAGCCUUUUUUUCAACUUUUGACCUCGGAUCAGGUAGGGAUACCCGCUGAACUUAAGCAUAUCAAUAAGCCGGAGGAACC
rnacentral:rRNA from 1 species